AAAGUCCCCUUCGGGGGAUAAGUAGAGUGGCGUCCGGGUGAGUAACACGUAGGUAAUCUACCUUCGGGUGGGGAAUAACCCAGGGAAACUUGGGCUAAUACCGCAUAAUGCAGCGGCACCACAUGGUGACAGUUGUUAAAGCGGGGGAUUUUCGAACCUCGCGCCUGAAGAGGAGCCUGCGGCAGAUUAGCUAGUUGGUAAGGUAACGGCUUACCAAGGCAACGAUCUGUAGCCGGCUUGAGAGGGCGGUCGGCCACACUGACACUGACAUACGGGUCAGACUCCUACGGGAGGCAGCAGUCGGGAAUUUUGGGCAAUGGGCGAAAGCCUGACCCAGCAACGCCGCGUGAAGGAUGAAAUCCUUCGGGAUGUAAACUUCGCAAGAAUGGGAAGAAUUAGUAGGGGUUAAUACCCUCUAUGAUGACGGUACCAUUUGUAAGCUCCGGCUAACUCCGUGCCAGCAGCCGCGGUAAUACGGGGGGAGCAAGCGUUGUUCGGAUUUACUGGGCGUAAAGGGCGCGUAGGCGGUCAGCACAAGUCAGUUGUGAAAUCUCCGGGCUUAACUCGGAAAGGUCAACUGAUACUGUGCGACUAGAGUGCGGAAGGGGCAACUGGAAUUCUCGGUGUAGCGGUGAAAUGCGUAGAUAUCGAGAGGAACACCUGCGGCGAAGGCGGGUUGCUGGGCCGACACUGACGCUGAUGCGCGAAAGCCAGGGGAGCGAACGGGAUUAGAUACCCCGGUAGUCCUGGCCUUAAACGAUGGAUGCUUGGUGUCUGGAGUUUUAUAGUCUCCGGGUGCCGCAGCUAACGCGUUAAGCAUCCCGCCUGGGGAGUACGGUCGCAAGACUG
rnacentral:rRNA from 1 species